UUCAACGUAUCGUCGUAUUUAACUCACUUAUCUGGCAAUCUUGAGUACCACCUCUAAAUAUGAGCUGCUUUCAUCAAAUUUGAUAGACAUGAUGUGGAAGACCCAGAUGGACCAGCUUGGAAAAGUGUGGCUAUUGUGGGAACUAGUGGCACUUGUAGUAUUUCUGUUGUGAUCGGUUAUAUAUGAAUAAAUUUCAGUGAACUUACUCCUUUUUUGUACUAUACAUGAACUGAAUUCAUGUGCAAGCAAAUCAACCGUUCUUAGAUGACAUUCAGGUUCUUUGACACUUGUUCUGGGACGGUAAACUAAACCGUUGAAAGGGUUUCACAUCAAUCAUAUGAAGCAUUCAGUGUAGGUGAAGUUAUAUGGGCAAGAUGUACGAAAGCCACAACAUUCAUUAUGGUCGCCUUUCAUCUUAAACUGAAGAGGCAGGUGUAUGAUGUUGCCCGAAAGGUAGCAAUUCAUGAUACUAUCAUGAACUUUCCACAACAACAUUCCACUCUAGCAGGGGAAUGUGGGCUAAAAGUUGAACGGUGGUGAGAAACAAUGAGUUGCAUUAGCUCGUGCAUUCCUGUUAGCUCCACCUAAUUGGUUGUGGAGGCAACAAGUGCUCUCGAUAGCACAACUGAGGUAGAGAUUCUGACUGCAUUGAGGACACUUGCCCAUAACCGAAAAGUGGUCUUUGUUGCAUAUAGGCUUACAACUGUAACCCAGUGUAAUGAGGCAGGCCCAUUCUCCUAGAACCUAGUAGUUCCUCAAUACUUUUUUUCACACCAUAGAAUUAGGGACAAAUAUAAUGUUUAAAUCAUCUACAGUAUCUUUGGUCCUUUGGUUGUUUCAUUUCUCAAGGUCAAAGAAGCAACAAAAGUCAUUAGAAGUUAUAUAUCAAUAUAGUAGACACUAGACAAGCAGCAAAAAAUGUAUGGGCACUAAAAGAAAUCUUUUUCUUCACAUUAGUUGGCUUUCUUGUUUUGUUGGUACUUUAUGCUGUUAUAGGGCGAUUCUUUGAAAUAUGAUUAUACAUUACUGAAGAGUUUAGAAAAGUCCUAAUGUGGAUUCGUGAUCCCAAGUGCAUCGUUGAGGAUGAUGACGUGCCCCGUCUAUAUGAAACACUAGAAAGGGAGAUACUACAAAUAUCUGAUGCACAGACAAGAGACAAGGGUCAGGCCGGGGUAAGAGUGCUGAGCAGGAUUGCUGAUUUUAUGCUUAAAACCGGCGGUUUUAAUUUUAUGCUUGAAUGGUGUGGUG